rnacentral:pre_miRNA from 1 species
GUAGUAUUCCCUCCGUCCCAAAAGUCUUGUCUUACAUUUGUUUAGAUACGGAUGUAUCUAACACUAAAAUGUAACUAGAUACAUCCAUAUUUAGACAAAUUUAAGACAAGAAUUUUGGGACAGAGGGAGUACAAA